GUGAGAAAUGGGUCUUUAUUAAGAUUUCUUAAUAAAUCCAGAUAUUUCCCCAACAGUCAGGAGGAAAGAGUCCUCCUUGAGCAGACCUGAUGAGUGUUGUAUAAUAUUCAAAUUAAGGUGUAGACAGGGCAUCCUUAUUGUGGUGCAUGUGUUCCUGAUACAUGAACCAGGGAACAUAGUGGAUGAAAGAGAGUCUGACAGUUCUGUGAAUUUUCAAAGGAGUGAAGUCCAUAAUUGUAUUAAGACACCAGUUUAUCAGGAGUACAUAAAUUAUCUCUUCGAGGCAGACUGUCAGUUACAUGGGAGAAAGUAGUUAUGUCAAUGUACUACUUAGGUGCAAAAAGGCAAUACUUUUUCCUGUGUGAUUUCUCAUUCUUACACAUAACUUAAUUCACAAACAUCUGUGAUUUUAUUUCUUUAUAUGGGUGGAACACAUGGGUUGGUACUGACAUCUGGUGAGAAUUUUAUGUCAAUAGCAACUUUAGAAAUAUAUUUAUUUAGAAAAUUGAUGGCGUGUUCAUUACUUAUUUUACCCUCUGAAUAUUAUUAACCCCCCAAAAAAUAGCAGUGUGGGGUAAAUAAAGAUGUUUAUAUUAAUAAAGGCAUGGUUUGGUGACCAUUAGAAUAGUUUCGGAGAAACUGAGACCCUCACUAACCUUUGAUGUACACUAUAAGCAGGCCUGUAAUAUGAAAGAAACUGCUCAGUUCAAAAAAGUUUUAGGCACCUAAGAGUCUAAGGUGGCACCAAUUCAGCGUGAGAAAUUUAUUUUCACCAUUUUACAUUUUGCAUGUGAAACAAAGCUUGCUUUGUCUGCGGUUCAGCAUGUCAUAACCACAGUGCCACUGGUUUUAUUUGGUCUCACGCACUGCUACUUCACUGCUAGUUAAAUGUAGCAGUAGUUAUUGCCAUUAUUCCAGCAUAGGCAGAUCAUUCAAAAAAAAAAAAUGUCUUACGCACACAGAGGUUAAAGUGAAAUUUCCACCAUGCUCACUGUCUGCAUUCUUUGUUUACUUUAAUAACAUAAAACCAGACUUCUGUUAAGUGGAAGUCUUUUGGCUUAAACCACAGGCUGCAUUUCCUCUUUUCUAGUUGGCCCAGCUGGAAACCGUGAGGUCUUUCGGUAAAUAAAAUGAGUUGCAGAAUGAACAGCAACCAAUAGCAGUCUUUUACAUAUACAAAUUUACAUGAAAGUCUGGCUCAUUGGAAGCAACAUAUUCAAAAAAAAUAAGUGGCGAUCAAGACAUUUGCAGAGUAUUGUACAUCUUGCAUAUUGUCUGAUAUCCACCACUGUAAAGGUCAACAAUGGAACACAUUGUACUGUAAUCAUAUUAAACAGAAGUACAGAAUCACUGCAGCCAUUUGCGUUGAGACUGAACCUGUGCACUGACUAUUUGGAGAGCUAAAUGUGAUGUGGAACAAACCAUCAUAAUUGGAGCCUUUCUAGCCUUUUCUACAUGAAUUCUGUUUCAGAAAAUGUGAGUCCUUUCAUAAGUUCCUAACUUUAAAGACUCACAACCAACUCCUACCUUCAUGAAACCAGUAAUAUAAAAUAUAAAAGAGCUUAAACUCAUCAUUUAUAGAAGCUGAAGCCAUAUCCAUAAAACCCAUCUUUGAGUCCUAUUUUUUUAGCAGUUUUCUGUACCAGUCACGCAACGCUUUGUUAAAAAUAAUUUUGCUCAGAGGAAAUCCAACAAGUGGUUCUUGAAUAAACGGGAACUGUGUCUGUGCCUGUGCCUGUCUGUGGAGCUACGUGAAUGCAACCAGGGCAGGGUGUGUCCUGUCCCUGCCCCCAACAUGUGCAAAGAACGCAUUUU
ensembl:lncRNA